UCAGGAUGAACGCUAGCGGCAGGCCUAAUACAUGCAAGUCGAACGGGAUUGCCUCCUUCGGGAGGCAUGAGAGUGGCGCACGGGUGCGCAACGCGUAUGCAACCAACCCCCGACAGGCGGAUAGCCGGUGGAAACGCCGGAUAAUACGCCAUGGUUCCGGGAGAGGGCAUCCUCUCCUGGAUAAAGCCGAGAGGCGGUCGGGGACGGGCAUGCGUCCCAUUAGAUGGUAGGCGGGGUGACGGCCCACCUAGUCCACGAUGGGUAGGGGAUCUGAGAGGACGGUCCCCCACACUGGUACUGAGACACGGACCAGACUCCUGCGGGAGGCAGCAGUAAGGGAUAUUGGUCAAUGGGCGGAAGCCUGAACCAGCCCAUGCCGCGUGAGGGAAUGAGGCCCUACGGGUCGUGAACCUCUUUUAUUCGGGGACAAGGACGCGGUCGGGAACCGUGUUUGAGGGUACCGAAGGAAUAAGCGUCGGCUAACUCCGUGCCAGCCGCCGC
rnacentral:rRNA from 1 species